CCCAGGUCCACGCUGCUGCUGCGAGGCUGACGCAUCCAUCCAUCCAUCCGCCCCCGGGAAUCCCCCACCUCCUUUCUAGGACCUCAAACUCGCCAGGGCGGGGCAGAAAGGUUUAACUGAAGAGAAGACCCAUCUUGAAUGGUAGCAUCAUCCCAUGGACUGGGAUCCAAGACUAUAAAAAGGAGAAAGUGAGCUGAGUACCGGAAUUCAUCUCACUUGGCUUCCCAAUUGUUGGUACAACGUGACCAGCUACUCACGUGCCUGAAGCCAUGCCUUCCUUACUACCAUGAUAUAUAUCCUCAAACUGUAAGCCAAAACAAAGCCUCCCUUCCCUCAGUUCUUCCUAGUCAUGCAUUUUGUCACAGCAACGAGAAGAGUAACUAAUAUGGCUGGACUUCAGCAUUCCCAGACCUCCUUACACCACAGCCCUCUUGCUUCAGGGGACUGAAGCUGUACUAAAUGACUGUGUCCCAGACCCUUUUGUCAAGGGCAGGAUGAUGGGAGAAAAUAAAUGGAGCUGAGUGUG